rnacentral:rRNA from 1 species
GUGGGGAAUAUUGGACAAUGGGGGGAACCCUGAUCCAGCCAUGCCGCGUGUGUGAAGAAGGCCUUUUGGUUGUAAAGCACUUUAAGCGAGGAGGAGGCUUACCUGGUUAAUACCUGGGAUAAGUGGACGUUACUCGCAGAAUAAGCACCGGCUAACUCUGUGCCAGCAGCCGCGGUAAUACAGAGGGUGCGAGCGUUAAUCGGAUUUACUGGGCGUAAAGCGCGCGUAGGUGGUUAAUUAAGUCAAAUGUGAAAUCCCCGAGCUUAACUUGGGAAUUGCAUUCGAUACUGGUUAGCUAGAGUAUGGGAGAGGAUGGUAGAAUUCCAGGUGUAGCGGUGAAAUGCGUAGAGAUCUGGAGGAAUACCGAUGGCGAAGGCAGCCAUCUGGCCCAAUACUGACACUGAGGUGCGAAAGCAUGGGGAGCAAACAGGAUUAGAAACCCCAGUAGUCC